rnacentral:rRNA from 1 species
GGUAGUCCACGCCGUAAACGUUGGGCGCUAGGUGUGGGCCACAUUCCACGUGGUCUGUGCCGUAGCUAACGCAUUAAGCGCCCCGCCUGGGGAGUACGGCCGCAAGGCUAAAACUCAAAGGAAUUGACGGGGGCCCGCGCAAGCGGCGGAGCAUGUUGCUUAAUUCGAUGCAACGCGAAGAACCUUACCUGGGCUUGACAUGCAGGGAAAUCUCGUAGAGAUACGGGGGUCCUUUUGGGCCUUGCACAGGUGAUGCAUGGCUGUCGUCAGCUCGUGUCGUGAGAUGUUGGGUUAAG